UUGUAAUCAAAGACGCAAUGAAAACACGUGUCAUCAGGACAAUGAUAUUUUGAAUGAAGAUAAAUUAUGUUCUUUCUUCUGGAACUUCAUUGAAGUUGAACCUGAUGAAGUUCAACAAGAACAAGUGUAGAGUCCUGCACCUGGGGAAUAAUAACUGCAUGCAUCAGUGCAGUCAGGGGCUGAGCUGCUGCAGAGGAGCUGUGCAGAGAAGGACCUGGGGGUCCUGGUGGGCAGCAGGCUGGCCAUGAGCCAGAGGUGUGCCCUGGUGGCCAAGAAAGCCAAUGGUAAUUAAAAGCAUUGCAAAGAGCAUAGCUGGCAUGUUGAGGGAGGUGAUCCUCCCCUCUGUUGUGCCCUGGUGAGGCCACAGCUGGAGUGCUGCGUCCAGUACUGGGCUCCCAAGUUUAAAAACAAACAAACAAAAAAAAAACAACAGGGAUCUCCUAGAGAGAGUCCAAUGGAGGGCCAAAAAGGUGAUUAAGGGCUUGGAGCAUCUUCUGUAUGAGGAAAGACUGAGAGAGCUGGGACUGUUCAGUCUGGAGAAAAGAAGGCUGAGAGGGGAUCUCAUCACUGUUUAUGAAUAUCUCAAGUGCAAGAGUCAAGUCAAUGUGGGCAGACUCUUUUCAAUGGCAAGCAACAAUAGAACAAGGGGCAGUGGCCAGAAACUGAAAUAUGGGAAGUUCCAUACUAAUGCAGAGAAGAACUUCUUUACUGUCAGAAUGACAGAGCACUGGCACAGGCUGCCCGGAGAGGUUGUGGAGUCUCCUUCUAUGAAGAUCUUCAAGACCCAUCUGGACACCGACCUGUGUGACCAAUUGUAGGGAACUGCUUUAGCAGGGGGUUCGACCCAGUGAUAUCUUGAGGUUCCUUCCAACCCCUGCGAUUCUGUGAUUCUGAUUGUGUGGCUCUGUGAUUUAAGGCUGUGUAUUUUCCCUCUUCUCUUUUUACAGUUAUUUGAAAAUGUUUUUGUCCUGAAGUCACCCCUCUUUGACUCCCCUUAAAUGGAGUACCAAUCUGAGGUUGGACAUGCUUUAAUAGAGGCUGCUUCUUUCUUCUUCUUCUUCUUUUUUUUUUUUUUUAAGAGGUGGAAAUCAUGGAAUAAUAGAAUGGCUUGGGUUGGAAGGGACCUUAAAGCCCAUGCAGUUCCAACCCCUGCCCUGGGCUGGCUGCCCCCCACGAGGUUAGGCUGCCCAGAGCCCCUCCAGCCUGGUCUUGCACGUCUCCAGGGAUGGGUACCCAUAGUUUCUCUGGGCAGCCUUGGCUUUCCUGCUCCCAUCCAUGCACAUCCUGACAGCAUCUCUCUAUUCUUUGCAGGCCACUCAAUCCUGCUUCCGCUGCCUGCACAUUUUCUUUCCCUCACUCUGACCAGCAGGGACUUGCCCAGCCAUGCCAGUUUCCUGCCUCCUCUACUUGAUUUCUUAUCUUGGAGGUUGGAGAGCUCUUGUACUCUCAGAAAGGUGUCCUUAAAGAGCUGCCAUCUCUGCUCUGUUCCUUUGUCCCUAAGAACAACUUCCCAGGGGAUCUCACCCAACUACUCCCUAAGCAGCCUGAAGUUUGCUCUCUUGAAGUUCAGGGUCCUGACUGCUCUUUGCCAGGUGCAUAUUCCUUGAGAUCACAAAUGAGACCAGGGCAUGGUAGCUGCAGCCCAACCUGCCUCUAAUCUUAAUCUCUUUAUCUGUCUCCUCUGAAUUCAUGAGCUCCCUGGUCCAGUAACCCUUCUCCUCUGUCAGUUAGACUAAUACCUGGGCCAGGAAGUUACUGUCGGUGGGCUCUGGGAGUUUCCUGGGCUGCUUGCAGCUCACUGUGUUGCUUUCCCACAAGGCGUCUGGAUGAUUGAAGUCCCCAUCAGGAUUAGAGUCUGUGACACUUCUUGCAGCUGCAGCAAGAAUGCCUCACCCACAGGCUUUCUUUGGUCAGACAGCCUGUAGUGGACCCCAACCACCAGAUGUCCUUUAUUGGUCCAGUCCCUAAUUUUGACCCACAGGCUCUGAGUCUGAUUGUGGGUGAUUCUCAGAGGCAGCUCUUCACAGUCUAUCUAUUUCUUAACAUAGAGGGCAACUCCAGCACAGGAACAGGUUGCCCAAGGAGGUUGUGGAUGCCCCAUCCCUGGAGGCAUUCAAGGCCAGGCUGGAUAUGGCUCUCGGCAGUCUAGUCUGGUGGUUGGUGACCCUGCACAUAGCAGGGGGUUGGAACUCGAUGAUCAUUGUGGUCCUUUUCAACCCAGGCCAUCCUAUGAUUCUAUGAUUUCAUGAUUGUAAAAACCUCUCAGCCCUCAAUCAUAGCGUUCCAGUUGUGUGAUUUGUCCCACCGUAUUUCUAUGAUAGCAAUUAGGUCAUGGCUUUUUAAUAAUGACCUCAUAGGAAAAAAAUCACUCUCUUUGUCUUGAGCUGAAAAAUAUAGGCGUGUCCAUCUGUUAAGUAAGUUUUUGUGCUCAAAUGUAGAUACGGUUCUCUGAAACGCCUUAACAACUAUUAUGAUAGUGAAAGCAUCUUGACUGCAACUCGAGAGACCUGGAUUCUUUUCCUGAAAUAACCACUGAUUCUCAAGUCACUUAAUUUCCAUAUCUUGAAAACAGAGUAGUGUAUUUGCUGUCUUUCAUAAAGAGCAUUCAAAUCUACAUAUGCAAAGUGAUACGUAAACAUUUGUAAUAAUAUAGUGGGUGAUAUUCUCCAGGGAUAUAAAAAGGGGUGACCAGAAGAUGCUGGGAGAAUGAACUGACUUCUGCAGCUGUAGCUGAGCUCUUUGUCUUACUGGUGGUAAUUUGCAACUCAGAAUUUGGUGGUGGGGAGACAGAGUGCACAGUCAAUCAGAGUGCAGUCAAUUAGAGCAUGGUCAAUUAGAGCACGGUCUGAUUGACUGAACCUUAAGGAAACAUACUCUGUUUGUGUUUGCAUUAACUUAAAGGAUUCUCAAUCAUGAGGUAUGUGUAAACAUAGUGGGGUUUCUAUUUUCAAACUCCAAUUUUUCCUUUUCUGUUGCCUUCCAACUGCCACCUGAAAGAAAUCCCCUGUGGGAUUGCUUCUAAAAGUCCAAGCAUAUCUACAGCAAAAGAAGAACAUUUUGUCUUUACAUACUCACGCUGCAGAAAGGAAACAUUAUGUGGCACCGCAGCAUCAGACAUUUGCUAAGACACGCAGUGGUGGCCCUGUUUAAUUCCUCCUAGUGGACAAACUGCUCCAGCAGUCACCAGUCUAUGAGCUGACUCCUGGCUCCCUGAGGCAGUUAGUGCAGCACUGAGAUGCUGCUUUUAUUUCUGAGCCGUUUGGUGAGUGCGUUUUAAUCAGAGAUGUGGAAGAAGUGUUGGGGAGGAGGUGCAGCCUUCUCCUUCUCAGGUAAUUAAUCAUCUGAUUUUUGGUGUCUCAGUAAUUACUGUUGGCAAAAAAAAAAAAAAGUCAUUUGAAUGGUGGCAAUAUACUGCAAGCAAACAUAACUUUGAAUGACUUUGUUUCAGCCACUUGUCUGUUCUUCGUGAGCAUUUUUACAGUCAGCUGAGGACUUGUAACCAAGCCUUUGGCCACAACUGUCAGCUCCAGAUUGCCUCUAGCAGGCAAGGGUGUGAUUGCAAGAUGCUACCAUUGCUUCUGGCCGCUGGCCUUAUUGUGCUGAGUAUGCACGAAGGGACGUGCACAGCCCUGACUGCUGUUGGAUCUGAUUUCCACUGAAUUCUGCUGACCCUUAAACUGCUGCUGUGAUGGACUGAAGUAGCCUGAAGUGAACCUUUUCUCCCCAGCCAAAGCAAAAUGUUUAUCAGCAGCUCCUCUAAAGCCACUGCUGUUGCCCAAGUCUCUCCUUCUGCUGUUUGCUGCCUGCAGGAAGGCACGGGGAGAUAGCGAGCAGCCUGGGUGAACCUGCUCUGCUCCGACAGCCACUUUAGUUACCUGCCCCGAACCUCUGCUGCCAGCAGAGGCAGCUGUUGGUUCUGAGGCCAUCUGGAGGCACAAGGCAGGAUUUGAGGGAACUGCCUUUCUCUGGAGCCUCUUGUAGCACUCGUAGGCUUUGUUUAGUUAUUUAUCCAUCCUUCCAAUGCCCGUGCCAGUUUAGAACUUCCCAACGCUUUAACUACCAGAGUGUUCCUGAAUAGGUCAGAGUCAUUAUCCAUUCCUAUGAGGCAUACUGAACAGAAGAUUUGUUUUAAAAACAGAUGAAACAAUCAGCUUCUGAGCUAAUGUGGGGGUUUCUUGUUUACAUGGGCUUCAGCUCAGGCUGGACAAGGAGCUGGAAGAGUUUCUGCUGUGGGUACUCCUGUAUGUUCUUGCAGAGAUUCUUCGAACGCCGGUGGUUCUGUUAGCAUCCCUACGAGUGAAGCUGUGGUUGAGCAGAACCAAUUUAAAGUUGUUACAUUUGUCUGAGCUAAUCUUAUUUAUUUCAGGGCUUUUGCUCAGCUCUGCCCUUCUUGUUCCCGAGCACCUCUGCAUGAGUCGCCGCGGGCACAGCUGUGUGCUUAGGGACUCAGUUCUAUGGGAGCUCCCAGCUCAGGUUUGGGUACUGAGUGUUCCCCAGUCAGUAGGAGGAAAAAAACUCAGAAAUCCUCAGAGUGACUGCUGCCAUUACUUUGCAGAGAGCCUGUGAGAGCUCAUUUAUAAGGCAUCUGACAGCAAUCAGCACCAGAUCGUUCAUAAUGUCUUUGGAGUGUUUGAGGCCAGAUAAAUCCGACUGAUUUUCUGCCUUUGUGAAUAGCUGUGAGCAUAAAUUAAUCUCUAAUUUGAGGGGAAUGCUGCGUGUUAGAUGGAAAUGCAGGACGGAGCUGGAGGGGGCAACCUGGGCCUUUUUAUUCUAUCUAAACAUUAAAAUGUUCCAUCUGUACUUCUACUGCGAUCUGCAGUGGAAGUCAAAGGAAGGAUUUUGUCUCUCUUCUUUUAUAUUUAGCAUUUCUCUCAACACUUCAGAAUGUUGUCUCUGUUUUUUUGGACAAGGGGUGCAUGUUUUUUCCCACUUCUUAUUCAUUUAUGAAUUUAAAGGUCAACGUUGGGAUUUUUCGUACUCAGAAGUGUAUUUUCUGUUUAUUAUUCAUAUUUUAGGUGAGUGGUAUUUUAUUUACUUUAUUGUUUGUUCUAGAUGUUCAGCUAUAUCUGUGCUAAGAAAAAGGUCCAUUACUCGACGCAGGUGACUAGCUCUGGGUGCCCCCACCUGGUUGGAGCUGCCUAUUUCAUUGCAGUGUUGCUAAAUCCUUUCUGUAUGGUUUUCAUUCUGAAAAAGAUUAACCACAAAACAGCAAUGCAGGCAGUUCAGAUUCCUGCAGAGCACUGCUUAUGCAUUUGGUGUGUAUUUCAACUGGAGUAUGUCAGCAGCUGACAACAGGAAAGAAUCAUAGAGUGGCCUGGGUUGAAAAGGACCACAAUGACCAUCAGUUGCAACCCCCCUGCUAUGUGCAGGGUUGCCAACCAUCAGACCAGGCUGCCCAGAACCACAUCCAGCCUGGCCUUGAAUGCCUCCAGGGAUGGGGCAUCCACAGCCUCCUUGGGCAACCUGUUCCUGUGCUUGGACUGAAGGUACCGAGCUCUUCAGAACUGACUGACCCUGGCAGUUCUGAUUUGAGGUGUAAGGCACGGAUCUGAGCCAUACGUGUUCUUUGCCACUAGGGUGGUGAUGCAGACAAGUUGAUGUUCGGAAGGCAUACAGCUAUGCUGGGCUAAUGUUUGAGCCUACAGUAAAGUGCCUACCACAAACCCAUCCUUCUUGAUAUAAAGAUGUCAAAUAUUCUUUUACUACUGUUAAAGGACAUAAAGGAAAAGUUGCAGAAAGAAAUUCCCUUCUGAGAUUUUCAGUUGUAAAAACUGUUGUUCUCAUACAAACUUCAAAGCAAAGCUAGAAGAACACAUGAAGAGGCUAUUAGUGCAGCUGUGGUUUCUAAAAUACGUGGCUCAUGCAAGUCCUGAAAGGUACAACUGCUCCUUUACCAGCAUGAAAGCUGGAGAGCAGCAGAGCCCCGACAAGUGCAGGAGGCUGUUUGGAUGUCACACAGUUCAGUGGUCUCACAGUCCCAGUGUCAGACACACAGAGCCAGGCCCAGGCUGAGGUUGUCCCAGAAGAUCGUUGCUGUAGAUUACUGAAGUACAAAGGCUUGUAAACAACUACAGUGUCCACACGCGGGGCUGAAAAUGAGCUGUUAAGAGCUGAAAAUAUCAAUGUCUGAAAUUGGAAUUACUGACUCCUACUGGUUAGAGUUCCACCUCUCCCACGUAGAGAAUUGUUGGAUGCUCAUAAUGUAGCUUUUCACACUUUUUACUCUGUCCCUUAAAUGAUGUCUGUUUGAAUGUGAUUUCUUGAAGCCUUCAUUAUUUGUAAGUGAUUAUGUCAGGCUUUGAUAUAUUUUAGCUAUGAGAGUGUUUGAAUUAUCUGCUUUUCUCCUUUCAGCUGUCAUUUCAGGUAAAUGACAAUUCUGCAAGUUUGUGGUUUUGACUUCUCACCUCAGCGGUUUGGAUCAGUGAUUGAGGACGUGGACCCAGGAAUUUGAAGAUGAGCUUCACUUUUAAUGUCUUCAUUUGGACACCAAGCAAAUCCCUAACUAAUUGAGGCUGAAAUGCCUUAGGAUGAUAUUUGCUGUUCUUUAUUUAAAUUCAGAGAGUUUAUCACCACACGGACAUUUCAGUUGCUUAUUCUAGGAAACUCAUGGAAACGUGCUUUGUUAAAUAAUGUAUUUUCUAUUUUUUUUCCCUUCCUUGUGUUACAAAAUGAAUGUAAAAGCUUUAAAACCCAGCAUUCACCACUCUGCAGUAGAUCUAAUAGAGUGGCAUUAUAUGAAGAGAUGCCAUGGUAACUGAAGUUGCCAAGACAGUCAGUGUCAAGCUUUUUAAUGGUGACUGCUAUACUAUAUUUGGCUUUGAUUACCACAAUCUGAAUAGCAAAUGGAAAGUGUUCACCGGUCUCAUUUGCUACCACCUACAGUCCAGAAGUAACGAGAUGACAGAAUUCAGUGUUGCACUGACUGCCAACCACUGGCCAUCAGGAUUGUUCUUUGCAGCACUCCCCUCUCCCACUGGAUCUCAUGGCAUCCUUAUCACAGCCUUACCAUUUGUGCUAUCCAGUUGGUGAUAUGCCACUUGUCUUAAUGAAAUUUGGCACCUGAAGCCAGUAGAGGAGUCUGCACUUUGUGAGCUGGCAAAAAAUCAGCAAAGUCAUUUCCACAGGAAACUGUUCUUUAAAUCUGUAAGUGGUGCGAAAGCAGAAUAAAGCAGAAACGUACACUGUUUUUUUCUCAUAAAUGGGUUAAGUGUACCUUACCUCCCUUGCUGUAAAGCUUUGUAGAUCCUGUUAUCAUCAGUUUUCACAAAAAUGAUACUUUCUUCUGUCUCCAUAAUUUUGGUUUAUUUUUUAAAUGCCAGAAUAGAAAGCGAGGUCCCAUCGCCAAGGUGCCAUUUUAUCAUUUUGCUCACUCUAAUACAAAUGAUUUACCUAUACACUGAAGUAUUACCGUAAGUUAUAAUGAAGCUCCUUGCUAAAACGUGCAGCAGCAGUUCCAAAACGUUACUCAUUACCUUUAAAUCCAGAACUAAACUUUCUGCCAGUAGUAAUAGCCUCAUGCUGUUAAAAAGGACUGUUUUUAACAUGCUGUUAAAGGACUGCUUUACUUAAAAGGAAGCAGUCACAGAGCAGACUAUGAAAUGCUUCUUGAAUGAGAUGAACAGUCCUGGCCAUAACAGUUGUAGACUAUUGGGAAACUCAAUAGGCAGCUAACAGGAACAACUUGGGUAGGAAGAGCUUGAGGGUGAGUGCAGCUCAGCUCAGAACAGCCUUCUGUCAUUCUCUCUUGCAGUUAGGCAGACAUAAACAAAGAAGCAUGAUGGGAAGAAACUGAUAUCUUGGAGGGAAGGGAAAGACUAAAUAAAGAGUAGGGAAAAAGCUUUAACAAUGUGAUUCUUUAGAUAGAAAGCUAGUCUCAAAAGACCUAUCCCUUGACACAUGAAAAAUUGAUUGGAGAAAGCAGUAGCAAAUAGUUUUCCAGGAAGAAUGUUGUAUUGGCAGGAGGAUGGAUAAGAUGAUCACAGUUCAUUUACUUAAGUUAUAUCCAACAGCAUUAUGAAGUAGGAGAAUAUAUGGGUGAUUUCAUGUGGUUUUGGAUCGUGUGGAUUUUGAACAAACCAGUCAGGAGGUAGCAGCAUUGCUUUGGAGAUCAGCAAAUGAAGAAAAACAGCUUCAGUUGAAAGGGAACAGAUUUGACAGGAAAAAUUCAUAUUUGUUAAAGAUUGGUUUAGAAUACUGACAUCAAAUCUCACUGUCAGUGGAUAUUUUCUUCAACGGCUGUAUCUCUACUGCUAAAAUGCAACACAACAAAUUCAGAUUCAUUCCUAAGAUCAAUUUGUUCAAGUCAACAAAAUUUUUGUCACACCACUGUUAAACCUGAGAUGCCUCAAAUAAAGAGUAUAACUUGGCUUGAAAACAGCACGAAGGAUGAAUGUAAUCCAUGCCAUCGAGAAAAUAGCCAAUGUUAAACUAGAUGAGUUUGACACCAAUUCAAAAGGCAUCUUCUUGUGUCCUACAUUCUAGUAAUUUUGUUGACUAAAUUAUGUGUUUAAAUUUAUACGGCAAACUCAGGCCAGCAUUUGGGUUCCUGUGAUUAUUCAUUUGUAAGGCUGUGAAUGCUUAUUAAUGGCUCCUGGCUUUAGAAUGAGCGUUUAUGCUUCCAAAGCACUGCACAUGACUAAUUUGUUCUUCUGCUUAUUCGAAAGCAGCAGGGGUUGUCAAGAAGCCAAAUCUACACUGAAUUAAAACCACGUUGCUUUGCUUCCAUAGAAGAGGUAAUACUUGGCUGUUGUAAAAAAGUCACACUUCAAUUGAGCAUCAGUUCAUCACUGAAACUACAAAGUGGAGCAGUCGCAGAGGUAAGGUGAUGGUAAAUGCAAUGUGACGUUUCUCCUGGGCCAUACUGCAGAGAAACCUUACCUUUGUGUGGUGCAGCUGAUGUUGUGUACUUCCCAGAAAAAACAAAAGAGCUGUAAGGUUGCAGCAGAAUGCCAUGUCAAGGGAACCCAGAGUCUAAUUAAUCUCAGAGAAGUAUAAAGCCAUAACGAGUACCCACUUCAUUUUGUUUGAGUUGGUUUCUGUCCAGGUUAAAGUGAAACAGAGUGACCUGGUUGUAUGUAUGGGCCUGAAUGCGUUCCCAUGUUCUGCUAUAUAUCCCCACUACUAAGAUUCAGUCUAACCUCCAGCGUUUGGCAACCCUUAUUGUCUUCUGCCAGUUCUUCAGUCUUCAGAGGAGGUUUGAAGCUUCUCGAUAACGAUUUCACAUAGCAGUUGUGGAUCCUAAUGGUAAAUAUUUUUGGUUGGCGUUCCCUGAGGCUGCCAGUUAGCAGCUAACAGUGACACUCGACUGGUUUCUGUGCAGUGGAACUGUGCAGUUAGAUUAAAUCUCACUGAGUUAUUGCAAGGAGUUACACUGUGGCUAAAUGUUUGUACCACUGCAACCUGUAGUUUUCAAUAUAAUUCUCUGCAGCCUGGCAAGUGCAUUAAUGGUUUUACAUAGUGCGAGGAACAAAAGGUUGCGCAGCUGCUGGAGGUGGUUAUAAAAAGGCCCAUUUAACAUUCAUAGAUUCAGGGAAAGAAAACAGGAUAACCCUGCUGCUGGUUGUAGGGGUGAGUGUGAGCAGCUGCUUCAUGCGAUGCACAGCUGUGCCAGCGAUGUGCUGCAGAAGCGAUGAAUUAAGCUGUAAAGUGCAAGUCUCUGUGUACAACGUCCCGUUUUUGGAUAGCCCUGGAAAGUAAUGUAGAAGCUGUACAUGAGUGCCUCAAGUCUCUUUGCUUGCCUGUGCAGCAAUUAAUUUCAUACCUAUGCUAUGAAACCCCUGGAACAUCCCGUGUAGUGCGCAAACCAAGCGCUGUGCACAAACCUCCCAGCUAGACCAGAGGAAUUUAUAUCCCCUUCACUGACACACACAGACUGCUGGGUUGGUGCAAUGCUCUGAUGUGUUGGAUAAUAUGUGCAGGUCGUUGAACUUCAGUAGUACUGGAACAUGUGGAACAAACACUCUUGAAAUGAAGAAACUCCCAGCUUUGGGGCUGUGGCUGCAACCCUCCAAGGUGCUAGAUGUGUGAAAUGUGUUCUUCAGCACUGUACCUGAACAAAAAUCCUUCUGUCACUCCCUAGAAUUGCUAAAAAUGCUAGUUGUGUUUUAUAGAUAAAUGAUUGAUUGUGAGUUGUUGGCAUCAGCAACACUGCAGGCAUCACCGCCAUGCAGAGCUUUGUCUGAUUCCUGCCUGGCCAGCAAUGGUAAAUAGGUGCAGGGCUGGAGGAGCUCCAGGUGUCACUGUUAGGACAGCACCUGGGUAACUGGAGGGGCUUGUUUGUCACUGCUGAGGGAUUUCUGUGACCAAGACUCAACAGCUGCAUGCAGGGCAGCUCUGGCUGAAUCACACAGCUUCAGGUGUGGGAAGCAGCACUGCUUUAUGGAGGCUGCCUUUUUACUUUGGAGGUUUCUUAGCUGUUACAUAGUUGGUCACUGAUAACUUUGGCACAUUUUUGGUGGAGUAAUCUUGCCAGCAGCUUGAUACGUAGCUACAGAAAACAAAACAAAAGCAUCCUCACUUUCCUCAUUCUUUCCCCUCAAAUGAAGUAAUUUGAAAAGUGCAGAGCUCUGUUAAAAAGCAGAAUCAUCUGGGAAAGGAAAUUUGUCCUGACAGAGAUGGCAGGGGUUUGCUAAGCAGCAAGGCUGUGUGACUCCAUCCUCGUGGAACUGCUCCAGCACUGACCAGACGCACUCCUUCCAGGUCAGGACAGUGGGAGCUUGAGCCUUACUCUGUCCAAACAGCUUUGGACCAGACUUUGCUGCUGUCUCCUGCUCUGUGGUCCCGUUAUCUAUGGCAGCUUGGUUGGAAUGGUGUUGCUCAGACCUCUUGGGCAAGUCACUGCAAGCCCUGGUUGCUGGGAGAUCCUGUCUGCUUAUCGCAACUCCAGCCAGUGCUAUGACUUGCAAGACGCAGCAUGCUGAGGGCCCUCACUAGCACCUUGUCUCUCUAACUUUGCUAUGGGUUUGUCAUGGGCAGGCUCACUGUCACCCCUUUCCCCCUUCAAACCUGGUUUAAAGCCCCCUCAAUGAACUCAGACAUCUCCUGGGCUAGAAUUCUUUUCCCCUUAGACUCGGGUGGACUCCAUCCAAGCCAGGCUCCAAGUAAACCACCCUGUAGUCAGAAAAGCCAAAAUUCCUGCAGUGGCAUCAGGCUGUCAGCCAUGUAUUUAUCAAACAGACUUUCCUGGUCCUCUCAGUAUCCCUCCCUGCAACUGAAGGGAUUGAGAACAUCAUCUGUACUCCCGCUCCAUCCACUGCCCUUUGGUAUUUGUAAUGUUUGUCACAGUUGUUGGUUCUUGGAAGAAUGCAGUGUGUGCUGCUAAAUGGGGAUGGAAAAUGCAACAGCCGCAUCCAUGUAUAUUGAAAUGCAUUGUGUAGCAUUACAGAAGUGUUUUCAUAAAGCUGACAUUCAGAAAAACAUUCAGAAAUACAUAUACUAUAGCAAUACUAGACAACAUCUGUUAAUAUUUUAUGCUUUUUUAAACUCACAGCCCUUGGAGAAGGAGAGAUUUGACAGUGAAAUAUUCAAUUGAUUUCAGCAGCAGUGGGUCAGAUCCACAAAUCAGGCCAUUGAUGUAAUUUGUCCCUAGAGCUUUAGCUGUCUAUGGAUGCUGGUAAGGUACUGGUGCCUGUUGUUGCCUGCCCUUGGCAGCAAGAGCACUCCCCAUUUGUAAGGAAGUAAUCUAAUUUUAUUCAUCUUCUUGCUUCAUCUUAGACUUUAUUGCCAUCUGUCUUCAUGAGGUAGAUAGAUCGUUUGAGUGUAGCCUUCUGUACUGUCGUUGUCUUUUGUUUCCCUUACAGAGAGCUUGUGUAGAUACUCACUGCUGUUACUGAAGUGGACUGGAGUUUUAAACCUGUUGCCUGUCCUCUUCAUCUCGUCGUAACACAACCUGUUCUCUUGGCAUGACAAAGUAGAAGCUUCCUCUGCUCAGCCUAGUGACAUGUCACCUGGUCACCAACCUUUCAUCUCCUCUUAUAAUAUCCAUGCUGAGUAGUCCUUACAGAUUGACUCUGUGAUAGACAGUCUGUGUGAUGUCUGAUUGGCAUAGAUGGACAGAGGUUGCUCCAAAAGUAAUGCCUCCUAUUUAUUUCCAUGGAAACCAACAGAUACAAAGAGCACAAUAUUAUUGUUUGAUAGAGCACAUUCUCAGCUACAAAACACUGUUUUUCAACACAGAUACCACCAUUAACAAGCAUUUGCAAGCUGUAUUCAUAAAAAUCUGCCUGACCUAUAGGAACGUGGCUUGUCUUUCACAUUGCUGUCACCACUGCUGAAACACACCAUGCACCACCUCAGUGUGUUCACAUCCUCUGUUCGGUCUCCAUUGAUGGAAUGUCAAUGGGUGCCAUUUUUUCUGCAUGGAGGAAUUUAGUCCCACCCCUCUACUCCAUUCAUACUUCCAUGUCAGAUGCCAUUCUUUCCGAUUGCCCCCCUACUGCCAUCUGUCAUAAAGCAAAAAAAUAUAAUGAAAUAUUGACGGGAAGGUUCAACUUCUACUGCCAUCCCAGCACCAUCCACCUCUGAUGUUGUGGGCCAACAUCAUAAAAUAGGAGGCAUUACUUUCAGAGCAGCCCUCAUAACCGAGAAUGUUUGAAUUAAGUGUGCAGCUGUCUUGAUAGCCUGACAGUAACUUCAGCAAAGGGUGGCAGUGCCUAGGCAGAAUGUGUCUGAAAGCAGGAUUCCCAGUCUGGGAGGUGGAAUUACUUCUCUCUUUGUAUCUUGAUUAUUUAUUUUUGCUGUAUCAACUCUAAUGCUGGGCUUUUGUGUUCACAUCAGCACUUGGUGGAACCAUAUUGGUGGCCCUUUUGAUGGAGGUGAGAGUUUGUCAUUGGUGUAAGGAGAUUUCAUUGUUGUAUCAGUUCUGUAGUUCUUUGACACUCCUAUGUAAAUAUGGUAAAUCCAAACCAAUCCAUGUAUUUGCAUCUCUCCGAGGAUCUGCUUUGAAAUCUGCAUUUCAACAGCCUUUGUAACCGUACCUCAACACAAUGCAGAUAAGAAAGUGCUUUCUGCCAUCCCUGUUAAAAUGCAAGACAGCUUUUCCAGCUGGACAUAACUGCGUACCUUCACUGGUCUCCCCACAAUUGGGAUUUUUCUUCCUUUCCAAGAGUGAGCAGUGCCAUCAUGCCACCAAGCAUGGCAGCAGCUGACACAGGGAUUAAACUGCUUCUUCCUUGCUCUCUGCCUGGAAGAUAAUUCUUGAAGGAAGUACAGUAGGAUUUAGGAAAAAUUUCUUCUUCAAGAGAGUGGUCAGACACUGGAAGGGGCUGCCCAGGGAGGUGGUGGAGUCACCGUCCCUGGAGGUGUUCAAGAAACAUGUAGAUGUUGUACUGAGGGCCAUGGUUUGGUGGGGAAGUACUGGUGGUAGGUGGAUGGUUGGACUGGAUGGUCGUGGAGGUCUCUUCCAGCCUUGGUGGUUCUAUGAUUUUCAGCACAUGUACAUAUUUAAGGCAUUUUUUAAAGUGUGUUUCUGAACUUCAUAUUUAGAAACCUGCUUAUUCAAGCUUAUGCUUUGCUAAGUUCUAGGAAAUGAAAUUAACUUGAAGAGCAACUUACUGUAAUUUACUGUGAACAAGUUGUAUCUGUAACAGAAGCUUGCUGGCACAUGCUGCUUUAGGUUGGACAAGGGAUAUGAGUGUGUGUAUCUUUCUGCUAUGUGGUAAGACUCCACGUGAGGAUAGAGGUCCUGGGGCCUCAGAGGAAGACUGAUGUCUUGCCUGAGGAGGAAAUUCAAGGUGUGCGGUCAUGGUUGAUGUAAAAGCCAUUCUGCUCACCCUGCCCUUUGGGCAGUCUGCCCUUCCCAUCCUGCAUAGGUCAAUCCUUUAGGUCCAUCUCAUACGCUGUGGACCUUGCGUUAAAGGGGAGAAUGCACUGCUGGAGGUGUGCCAGUUUCUGAUUCCAAAUGUUGGUGCAUCUUCUCAGCUUCUUUCAUGCUUUCUCUGGCGAUUGCUUCCGUGAAUACAAAAUCUGACAAAUAAUUGCAUUUUGAAGGGCAUGCUUAAUGGAGGUCCAUAAAAAUGAUUUACAGGCAACUGCAAACUGAACUAUUACACUAAAGGAUAAAAAGCUUCCUUAAUGAGCUGUACAAGACAGUUAUUGAUGUAUUUAUGAAAACAUUCCCCAGUACAUGCAACCAGGGGAAUUCAAAGAUAAAUAUUUAAAGAUUGUCUGACAGUUUUUGAAUGUAGCAAAACUCGGGUUCCUCUGGUUCCUCUGUAGGGCAGUAAAUGUCUUGAAACAAAAGUAUGUGUGAUUUGUAACAGAAGAGAACAAAACCUGUCUUAAAACUAGAUGUCUUUCUAUGUGACAAUGCUUUGUUCAACCUAAGAGAUAAAGCAAGGAGAAAAUAGGCAUGGGAAGCUUAAGAUAUUAAUAAGGUAAGCCAACAUUUUUUUUCUAUCUAGGUAAUUUAUUAGAAUGGUGUCAAAGAAAUGUACUUAAGAUGAUGAAAUGUAACAACAGUUUUGCGUUUGAUUGAGUUUCCUUCCAUCCCAUCAUUGCUGUACACAAUCAGGUUAUUCAAGUGUGAUCUUUAAGUGUUCACAUUGUGAUUUAUAAUCUUGAUCUUCGCACCCCAGGGAGAGAAAAAUUGGUCUGUUGUUAUGAAUCUGAUUAAUAUAUAGAACAAUGUGUGCCCUUUUGGUAUUUAUUACACACAUGUGCUUUUAGUUUGGAUUAUCUCAUUGUUACUUGCACUUUGCAGGCAUACUGCAUUACUCUCUGAGUAACAAACUGUAGAAGCAUUCUAAGUAUUGGGGCUGACACUUGGUGUGGCAUCACCUUGUCAUUGGUGCGCUUUAUAUCCUUGACUGGCUUAAUAAUUGAUAAUUUUUAAAUAAUAUGGUUUUCUUUAGGACCACAGCUGCUGUGUCAUGUAACUCCUCCUGCCAUACAGAACGAAGAUCUGGCUCAUGCUAUUAAAUAAGCUCUAGAGUCUUUUUUAGACUUCUUCCACCACAUUGUUUCUUGGGCUACAGACUGAGACUGGGCUAUGGAGCCUUUUCCUUUGAAGGUUGGUAGAAGGAGUGAAUGAGGGACAGGGGCUGUGCUAGCCAGCCUGUGAAAGGUGCUGGCAGCUGCCCUGAGUGUUGCUCAUGGGUAGAAGAGCUGCAUUAGCAGCCAGUGCUGAAGGUUAAUAGAAGAGUUUUAGUCUUGGGGGAUCUCUUCUUCAGCACCAAGAAGGGUUGUGAUGAAGCUGAAUUUCCCCCUGGGUGACGAUGCUGGUCCCGUUUUCACUUACAAGAACAUGGAAUAUAUUCAUCAACAUUCAUUAACUUCAUGGAUCUCAAGGAAGCACUCAUAACCUCCACUAAGACUUCUGAGUUGUAAGUGUAGUAUGGGGUAGUAUUUAAGCUUUUCUAGCUUUCUGCUGGGAUAUAAGGGUUUGGGUUUCUUUCUUUGUUUUCCUUGAUGUCAUUUGAUUGCUUCAAAUUUUACUUUUUUGGCUUAUUUUUCCUGUUUCAUUUCCCCUGUAAGGACGCAGCAGUUCACAUGCACCAAAGUCUCUGUAAUAGUGUCCUUACAAUGAAAGGGGAUUUGUGUACUAAGGAUUGUAUCAGUGAAAAACUAGUGUUGGAUUUUUGCUAUGUGGGAAUGUAAGGCAAGGAGAGCAGAAAAGGAAUAGCCAAUACUUUUGAUAGUUAAGGAAGCACAAGGGUACACAUACAAGUCCUGAGCCUUGGAAAGGUUCUCAGUCCAGCUCUGUAUAUCUGACUCAGUAUGGAACAGCCUGUGUUAAUUUAACUUAAAUCUCUCCUGCACCAAAUUGUAGGUGGGAAGUCUGUUGAUCAAAGCCAGACUUUUAAAGCAGGUUUCCUGUAGUAGUGUGUAAAAUCAGUCUUUGUACAAGAGUAGUUCUGUCACCUGCCUUGCAAGCAAAUUACAUUAUGCAAUUUAGAGCCCAAGUAUGGCUUAACUUCAGUGGAUAAAUCUCAUGCCUGUUGUGAAAGCAUUCAUGUCCUUGGGGCCUGUAUUUGAUUUCUCAAUAUGUAGGAACAAUAGAAAUUUGAAGAUUUUGAUUGAAAUGCAACCCAUGGAUUAUGCACGUAACCAUUUGCAGCCUUUACUUAUGCACCUGUUGUGAAGACGCAUCCACACUAAGGAACUGCAGCUCAGCCUCUUUGCUUGGCUGCAGUGCCUUUUGGUGUAAGCUAGUGGAGAUGUUUUGCCUCUAUCAGAAGAACUGAAGCACUGUUCUUCCAGGGAGGCCGGCAGCAACAAAGAAAGAAGGAUGCCCUGAAUGGCUGUUGGAGGCUGUCAGACUGUUAUAUCUCUUGUAUUUACUGCUUUACUUGUUGCCUUUGGAAGAUUAUUGCUGUCAGUGCUUGAAGGACCCUGCUCCACAGUCACCUAGAUGAUCUCACCUUCUAUUCUGUAUUGUUUUCAGAAAAUACAAUGGUUAGCAUGUUAAUGGUUAACAUACAGUUUUAGCAGCUUCAGUUGCAUUAUAACUCAAAAAUUCUGUCAAGAAGAACUUAGAUUGAGCUUCAGAUUCUGACAGUGUCCUGAAGACAAUCUUACUGGCUUCUCCCAGGUGACUUGCGUUUCCAUUCUGCAGGCUGGAGCAAUGUGAUGCUGAGGUGAUCCAGAAUUUCUGACUCUGUGCAGAUCAGCCCUGUCCCUGAGCAACCACCAGGCAGGUACGAUUUAGAUGAGGGUACAAAAGCAUGGAGACCCCUCAGAUUUAUGGGUGCCUCAGUCACCUAGAGCAGAUUGUCUGUGAGAUGAGAGUGCACAGAGACCACAGUUGGAUAUUGUACACCUCUGGAGUAGUUACCUUGGCAACUAUCAUACUGUGUGCGGUUUGGUUGCGAGGAACUGGCACAGCAGAGAAGUGUGACAUGUGAGACAUAAUCCUCCGUGCAUUUCCGAAGAUGGCAAGCAGGUGAUGGCGUGAGCAUUUCUGCUGUUGGCAGCGUAACGGCCACGAGCUCAUUGCUGUAGCAGCCCUACUCUCACAAUUUAAAUUCCUCAUGUUAACAAAAAUGAAGAGCUGUGCAGUGGUACAUGUUAUCAGCACUUUUUCUGGAGGAGUUCCUUGAGAAUGAAGGUGAAUAAAACCAUCCUGCUUACCUCACCACCUCCCACUCGUUUUGCCUAAAACGCCUCAUUGAAAUUUCUUAGCAGAGCAGGGCUGUGCAGCUCCUGGAGGAUCCUCUUAGAUCUUGGUUGGUGGGAGGUGGAUUUGCCUGGGCUGCUGACUUCUUUUUCUUCAGAGACCUCGGUAAGCUGUGUGAGUUCCCAGGGCACCCAUCCCAUCCCCCUCCCAGCCCAGGGGAGCCCACAUGGCUCAGAAUAAUGAAGGCCCUUACUGAGGGUGUCAGGGUUCACGAUUCCUCUCCUCUAGUUCUUGUGAUGAUUCUAUAAGGCGCCAGUAGGGCUUGUUAACAGAGCUGAUCAAUGAAACUUGUGUGCAAGGAUCGCUAAGAUCAAUUCUGCAAUGAAUCAAAGAGUCCUUCCAGUAUUGACUUUCUUUUUAAACAGCAAAAACUGGAAGAAAAAAAAAUAUAAGAGUAUUCACCACUAUUGGUGUGUGUGGCUGAGCCGUCCCUGAAGGGCAGCAGUCUGCAUGCAGCUGUGCCAGGGGUUCCAGGUGGCACAGACCUCAGAGACCCCCGAGUGAGGAAGCAGAGAUGGGGUUGCUCAUGGUGCUGUAUUUUGGCCCAUGCUCAGUGCGUCACUGUUGUUUGAAUCUUAAAAAGAUUGCCCCCUCCUCGUUCCAUUUUAGUUUCCUGGUCGUAGCUUUUGUCUUUCCAUAGCAAAUGUGGUUCCUCAAGCAUUGCAGAGUACGGGCGCUUUUACUUGACUUUGAAAUAUUUUAAGCCUGAUUCUCUUUCACUUAGCUUUCACUUCUAGAAAUGAAAAAUAUCAGAAUAGAUGGAGUUGCUCAUUUUCUGUGUAAUUCAGUGAGAACUCUGUCAGGUCAAGUCUAGCACAGACAAGAGGCCCCUCACCGCUGGGUAGGAAGAGACAGCUUGGUAGUCUGCAUUCCAAGUCAAGGUGCAUUUCCAGGAGAGGUGGGAAGGGGGGUGGCAAAGCAAGUUUCACAGAACUCUCUUAGUUCUCCUUGGUGGAGUAAUCCCUGUUAAAAAGCUGACUGAUCAAUGACCAUAAGGAGAUAUACCACUGUCUUGUACAGGCUUACUGUACUUGGAAGUGCAAUCAGUGUUUUAAUGACUGUUCCCUGCUGCAGUAUGUUUAACUGCAUUGAUUGAUACCUUAAAACUGUGGCUGUUCAUUAGGCUUUAAAAAUUUUCCUUCUUUAUGUGUUGUAUGUGGGAGUGUAAGCCAUCAGCUUAUGUAAAAUGUAACGUUGUCUUUUGGGAUACCCACUCAUUUAAAAAUAUAUAUAUAUGAAAAAAGAUCAGGUGGGUUCAUUCGUCAAGGUGUGAAUGCUUAAGACCAUUUUACUAACGUGAAACCAAAAUCUGGUGAUUUUAGGGGAAUCACAGAAUCACCAAGGUUGGAAAAGACCUCCAAGAUCUUCCAGUCCAACCAUCCACCUACCACCAAUAUUCCCCACUGAGCCAUAUCCCUCAGUACAACACCUAAACAUUUCUUGAACACCUGCAUGGUUGGUGACUCCACCAUGUCCCUGCGCAGCCCAUUCCAAUGCCUGACUACUCUCCUGGAGAAGUGUUUCCUAAUGUCCAACCUGCAUUGGAGUUAACAUUCUGUUGUGUUUUAGUGAGUAGAGCACAGUGUAGGGUGGGUUUCUUGUACAAGUGCAUCUAUUCAUUCAGCAGCAAUACAAACCCACGUCAGUAUGGUUUUCAGCACACCCAUGGGUGUGGAUGGGGUUGCUGGUGCUCUCAGGUCUGCUGCUUCCCGCUGUAACAAGCAGCCUGAAAGCUGCAGCUUGCUGUGUGUGUUCACACAGCCUGUCAGUCUGCUGCUGCCAUUUGAUUUAGGAUGAUGAAAGCAGGAGCAAAAUCCAGCUAAAAGUGAAGUGAGUUGUGUUGGAUGGAUUUGUAACUCCUGGUGACCUGAGGAAGGAGAGACGAUGCCGCCGGAUGUCACCUGGCGGUGGGCAGACACCUCAGCCCUGGCUGUAAGUACGGGAGAGUUUUGCAGCUGCAGUCUUCCUUUUCAGCUUUGUUCUCACAGCUCUGGGCCUUCUGGUCGGAUCCAUGCAGGGCUGCCGUGCCGUGUGUCAGUCAGUGCCCUCCCACAGGCUGGGAGCUCUGUACAAUUUGCCCUUUUGAAACAUGAUCCUUUGUUCCUACUGAACUCGGGGCCACUAUCCCAGGAACCUCAUUCCAUUUUCCAGCUGUCUGAAAUUGGGCUUUCUGCUGCAGAGGAUUUUCUUGCCAUAUCAGAGAUUCCCUCUCCCUCCAGGCUUUUUAUUGCUAAAACAGUAGGCUAUGAAUGCUGCAUCAUGGUGCAUACAGGUGUGUGUAUCAGUGUUUGUGCCAGCACACUGCAGGCGUUAUCUUAUGCUGUGCAUUUGUGAAAGUGCUGUGAAUGUUCUGUGGGUUAUAACACUCAAUUGCACGGUGCAUCUUCCCAAAUUCCCACAAAGAACAGCAGAACUGACAGCAAGAGAUGCACUAACAAAAUCACACGGAGCUCUUGCCAAGCAGAGGGCAGUUUUGUUCCUAGGCACUGAAGGACAACGAUGACCAACAACAUGCUUGCUCCUAUAUUAAUAGGUUUUAUUUCACCAUAAAUCUUACCGCACACCCUGCAGCUUGUUGUGCCUUUGCCACACUAAACCGUCCUGCAGGACGUUGCUCACAUCUUGUUCACGUGCUGUCCUUUCUGAUCAACCUGCCAGGCGAUGGAGCAGGAUAGGGAUGUCAGGGCAGAACUGACCAGGAGGUACGGACUGCUUCAGCCAGGAGGAACAACACUGACUCCUGUGUUUUAUCUGGCUGCUGGCUGUGGGAAUCCUGCCAACCAGCUGGUGAAAACGGUAUAAAAUCUGACUUUGUGUAAUAUUACACUUGUUUCUGUGAUCCUUGCUUUUAGCAAAUAGUUCAUUCCUAACCGCUGUUGGGAAGCAGGCAGACUGACAGUGCUGUGAGUGCACGUGGGCUCUGCUCUGCAGACACAGCCUGUGUUUCCAGGGUUGUACUCCAUCUCCCUUCCAUGCUUUGGUACUCAGAAAGGAUUAACUUUGCCCUCAGUGCCUUUACACAAACAGCACUAAAAUAUUUGAAGGAAUGUGAUUUUCUCUGGGGCUGGAUGGAAUUAAAGCAUUGUACUUGUCGUGAUUUAAGGUUGUUUCUGAUGAUGGAGGCUGGCUGAGGUUUCUCACUUCUGCUGUCCUCUCUUGCAUGCCUUGUUUCCUACAGUCUGUGUAACAAGCUUUCCCAGGGGAAAUCUCCCAGCAACAGCAUGCGCUGAUGAUGCUGUGACGCCUGGCUGUCGGAGUUGUUGCACACAAAUAGGACUGACAAGUGAAACAGAAAAUGUGAGACUAUCUGAUGUUCCAGGGAGGAUGGCUGAAGCAUGGCCACUGCAGGAACGCGGCUCAGUUAAACUUGCUUCUCCCACAGCAAAGAUCAUUAGGUUAAAAAACAGCUGGUCUUUUGACAGGCCUGCUUUCCAAAUGAGACAGCACCAACACCAGCUUUCAGUUUUAAGAAGCUGCCAUUAUUUAUCCCUUUAAAUCACUGAUUUUAUUAGUUCUGCUGGCAGCUUUCUUAGCUGAAUCUGCAUUUUGUGUAAUUUGUUGUAAUUCACUUGUGCGGGCAGGUUACUAUUUUCUUUGUGCUUGUAACUGUGAUUACAGUGUUCAGACUUUCCAACCCUAGCACUGUACCCAGGGUAGGCAGUGUCACCUGUUGAGGUUGCCCAAGAGCUCCCACUAUAAAUCCUAAUUUCUAAUACAUCCAUGUAUCUCUACAGCAGUCCCUGUGCAGACUUGUUGCUGGCUCACGCCUGCCAGUACUUCACAGAGAUGCAGAUGCCAUUGGUGGACUUUUCACUGCUGGACAGAAGGCAUUUGUGUGAUUGCUUGUUGUGAAGUACCUUCUGCAGAGACUGCCUGCAGUUUUGGAAGGCAGCUGGAUAGCAUCAUGCAUUAGUAAUCUAAUGACCUUUACCCCUCGGCACCAUUUCCUCACAUCUUGAACAGCUUGGCAAUACUAGGAAAGCAUCCCAUGGUUCAGUACAGUUGUGUAAUAGAAGUUCUUCUCAUUACAUUUCACUCAUUGACUGAUUUUAUCUCAAGAGUAAGCACAGCAGCUAGAAAUCACAGGAAGCCUCGGAAGAGAGUUGGAUUAAUACCUGAAGGCAGUUUCCUCUGGAAGUGAGCUUUCCUUCGAGGCAUGGAGCAGCACUGCUGCUGUGGCUGCUGCACUGGGGCUGCAGGAAGUCCCUCUGUGCAGACAAAACUCAUUCUGGGAACAUGCAAAGAACACAGAGUUUGGACCCAAUUACUCACUCUGCCAUCUUUUUUUAUCCUCAAGGAUGGGGGGGAAUCCUUUAUCAGUGCAUAGUAAUCGUCUUGAUGUCCAAUGAAAAGAGCAAUGACAAACAUUUCCUUGCCAGACAAUGAGUAUUGCAGGCAGACAGCUGGGUUACUUUCCACCUUUGCACGAGCACAUCUGCUCAACGAGCACGGCGUGCAUUCGGAGAUACCCGAGCACGCAGGGCUGACAUUUGCUUUUCAGAAGCGCCCCCCUGACAGGCACUUGAAUGCUCAGACACCCGUGUGAAAGGUACACAGGACAUCAGUGGGACGAGCUGCGUAACUCACACCAAUGACACGUCUCUUUUCACUUGCAGUAUUUAUAGCUGGCAGUGAUUUCCCAUUGCGCACUUUUGCUUUAGGAAGGACUUCUAAAAUAUCAAGAGUUUGUUCCAUACAGACCUUUUCCUUUGGGUACAUGAAGGAGGCUGAUGUCAACGGCAGCUCUCGGACGUGGCCCUGAAUACACAGCAGUACGAGCCAUUCUGCUUGUGCAUGUGGUCAGCUUUUGCUUCAGUCUUCUUGUGCUUCUGCUUGUGCUUCAGGCAGCAUGACUUUCAGAGCUCUUCAUUUUAUUUUAUGGCUAAUUUCACGAAUUCAUUAGGGGCAUUGUAGUGGCAGUGCUCAGUCACAGCCUGAAACAGUGAUGGAGCACCUGGUGGGAAGGCAGGGCCAACCCAGGGGAGUUCAGGUGCACGUAGUGCUGCUGAGUGACUAGAAGGGAUGGAGUCAGUAUCCACCCCUUCCCAGCCCUCAUUUAAGGGUUGGCAGUGGAGCUGAGGGUAUCUUUUGCUGGAGAUUCCUGCUUACCUGCGGCCUUCUAAGAGUAAGCAGCUCUUUUCCUUAAUUUUUGCAUCUGUGGCUGUUGCAUUUGGGCUCAUUCUCAUUUGGAGUAGCUAAAGACUUUGACGCCCUGCUAUUAUCCUAUUAUAGCGUUGCAGGCAUUAAUAAUAGUUAAGGAGAUUUAAAUCCAUUAUGACUGUAACACUGGGCAGGCUGCAGGGGUGUGCAGAUGUCAUCUCCAUGUUCUUCUGGAGGAAUUUUGGAUGCUCAGUAGCAGUGAUGCCAGUGUUGGGGCAUGCACCCAGAGCACCCCUGUCUGGAGGAAAUGUAGUUCCCCACAUCUUGCAACGCACAGAGCUGUGAGAACACCAGAAUGCCUGAGCACUCAUCUGCUGCCCAGCUCUUGGCUGCUGCUAGAUGCAGCUCGUGACUUUGAAACCAGUUGUUUGCAAAAGAGCUCUGUGCCAUGCCCUGCAGGGCGAGCAGGGCCUCGUGCUGCAGCUGCUGACUAAUGCAUGACACCUCUGCUGUGAGGCAGUUGUGUUCACUCACCGAGGUCAGGGUGACUCAAAGCAGCACAUGUUCCAUGUCGAUGCCCAGAGGCAGCUGCUGUUUUACAUCAUGACAAUGUCAAUUAUCACCUACAACACUCCUGUAAGGAGUAAAAUGGCAUUGACAAAAGAUGCAAUUAUUUGGCUGUUUGCUUUCUCAGUCCUCUGCUAAUGUCAGUGUCUGGUUGUCUCUCUGAUGAUGCCUUUAAACCACAUGUGUGACAGCUACACUGCGUUGAAAAACACAGCUUUCCCCACCUGUGUGUGCAUGAGGAGAUGUGCUGUUGCAGAGAUGCCCUGAUCUUUCUGAGCACCACUGUAACGCUGCUGGAGAAGCUCAAGGGGGGAUUGUGUCCUUUCCAGUGGAGGCUGGAGGUGCAAUAUUGAUCUCAGCCCCCAUCUCUUGGAUAGCUGGAGUGUCAAGCACUGGGUAGAAUUGCUGUAAGUGCGCUGGCUCUUGCUGUGCUCCUGGCCGUUCCUCUGCUUCAUGUCUAUGUGCUUGGGCCUUUGGAGCUGGCUGCUGCACCAGCCCAGCUCUCGGAGGUGUCCCCCAGCAGCUGCUGCCUGGGGUUGCUUGGGCUGCUCGCAGGAGCUGAGGGCACAGCCCAGCCCGCUGUGCUGGCAGAGGCUGAUAGCCUGCCCAGAGCAAGUUUUUCUCCUCCACCACAGUCAUCUGACCUGUCCUUAGAACGGCAUCUGCUUUUGGGGGGCAAGACCAACAAAAAACAACAGCAACAAAAAGCUUUUGUGAUUCAUCUCUUAUUUAGAGCAUGUGCUAAUGAUGAAUUUGGGUGCAUCCCAUCUUGUCUCUAGGAACAGCUGGAAUAACUUCUGUGUUUUUGCAUUGGAAACAACAAUGUUGCCGAAUCAUAGCUGUUCUUUGUGAAUCUCUCCAUUUCUUUAAGUUGUCAAUUUAUGGAAAAGUGGAAGAAUCUGGUAGUGAAACUGAAACUUCUUGUUUGAUCAUUUUGGUACCAGCAGAUGUGGGGAAUUCAUUCCAGGACAAGUUUAUUGCCUACGUUCACGUUCUGACAUUGCCAAAAUGAGCAGAAAUAAAAGCCUUCCCCACCCCCCUCAAGUUUUUAAAUAUAAUGGGAAAUGUUUUUAUUCUUUGGAGUUGUGGCAGAGUCUGCACAAUUUAACCUUGCAGACUUAUCCUGUUCAACCACAGGUCGUGUGCUGCUGUCCCAGCAGCUGGGGCUGGAUCCAUGCAGUCAGUCUGCACACGACGUGGAGGUUUGCUGAUGCUGCACAGUUGGGUGCAGGCAGUCAUCUGCAGAGCCCUCACGCCUUUGUAUCAUCCAGCCUGAUACUCAUAGCGCUGUUUUACUAAGCCCAAAGCCUUUACUGGUUACACAUGCUCUGCGUCAUUCCUUCCAUUGGCACGUGCUCCGUUCGGCAUUCUCUCAUUCACGUACGACACAGGGAAGGGAUUGUAUACUCCACUGUGAUACCACUUACAUCUCCUCCUUUGUUUCUAGGCAUGUAAUUACAUAUGGAUUUGGACCUUAACAAACCAUGGGUUGCUUUAGGUUACACUUGCUCCUGCCUCAGCCUAACUACGUGUUUUCAUUUAGAUUUUGGCAAGACCUUUGUCUGGCCAGCUGGCUUUUGUGCUCGAGACCAUCCUGUCUUUUGUCUUGAGUUACCCUUCCUUCUUCCCAACUGCAGCCCUGACUGCACUUGCAGUAACAGGGAUGAAUUUAUCAAAUGUUUGUGUAUUCACACAAUUAAAACGCAGAUAUUGAUUUGUUACUUUGAUCUCUUGGCUUCCCUUACCAGAAUGUAGGCAUGUAGACACAAAUACAGGGUGUGGAGGAUCUGUUGCAAAGGGCAAUUUUGAUCUGGCCGUAGCAGCGUGAGCCAUCUGUUGAUUGGCCUUUGUCAGCCAAAUUGUGCUACUAGUUGGCAUAGUGAAUAUGUAUGCAGCACUCUGCAGGACAAAACUCAUAAAUUCAGAUUGCCUUGCAUGAACUUAUAUAUGCAGUUCAGCUCCACAAAGAGAAAGAAAAAGAAAAAAACUGCAUACAUUGCUUAUGCAACAAAAUGUUGCUUAUUUAUAGUGGCAUUUACAAGGUGCAGGGAAAGCUGAUAUCCUCCUCAAUGAUGAGGGCUGAAAACCUCAUUAAAAUGUGUUAUAACAUCAAGUGAUGCAUUUCUGCCCCUACUGCUCCAUUUUAACACAGG
rnacentral:lncRNA from 1 species